rnacentral:rRNA from 1 species
GAUGAACGCUAGCGGCAGGCUUAACACAUGCAAGUCGAGGGGCAGCGGGGUGUAGCAAUACAUCGCCGGCGACCGGCGCACGGGUGCGUAACACGUAUGGAAUCUGCCCUUUACUGGGGGAUAGCCCGGAGAAAUCCGGAUUAAUACCCCAUAACAAGCGAGGUGGCAUCAUCUUGCUUUGAAAGCUCCGGCGGUAAAGGAUGACCAUGCGCCCGAUUAGCUAGUUGGUGAGGUAAUGGCUCACCAAGGCUACGAUCGGUAGGGGGCCUGAGAGGGUUAUCCCCCACACUGGUACUGAGACACGGACCAGACUCCUACGGGAGGCAGCAGUGAGGAAUAUUGCGCAAUGGAGGCAACUCUGACGCAGCCAUGCCGCGUGCAGGAAGAAGGCGCUACGCGUUGUAAACUGCUUUUUANCCGGGAAGAAACCCCAGGACGUGUCCUGGGUUGACGGUACCGGAGGAAUAAGCACCGGCUAACUUCGUGCCAGCAGCCGCGGUAAAG